UUUAUCUAUAAUAGUAAUAAUUGAUAUUCCGCCAGUUCCCUAUAGAAUUCCCUCUUGACCGUUUCCAUGCAUAGCAUUUAUGUUCUAACUAUUGUCUAUUUUUCAGAUCCAGGCACAGGCCCAUUCGGCAGAGAAAACGACGCCUAUGACACCUUUUAUGGUACUCACUUCCCCCCAGAGUGGUUCAGUCAGGAGUACAAAGCGGGACCCUCGACAGUAUACCAGAUCGGAGUGGUCCUGUUCUUCAUGUGAGGAGAUGACCCUUCUGGAGCUGAAGGAGACCAGUUGGCUUUCCAAAAAUGGCAAAUAUUUCUUUAAGGGUUGCAUGCAUGCGGACCCGGAU